ACCCCAAGGCCCUCACGGUCCAAGAGUGUAUCUAUGUACAUGUCAGUUACAUCCAGGCGAGGCCUUGGGGGCGGGGAGCGGCGGUCAGCCCUACCAGGGGCUUCAAGGUUUUCCAGAAAAGCGUGUAUCUACAAAAUGAAAAUAAAAAUAAGUAACAGCCACCACAGCAGUAAGCAUCGCCCCCAACCCCUCCACCCGUGGCUUCCUUCUGAAUCAUAAAUCAUGAAAGAGAGAUCAGUGACUCCAGCUUUCCUGCCCUUAACAACUGGGACUGAUAAUGCCAAAAAGGAAGAGAAACAAACACGUGAGCCAUACUGCUGCCAGCGGAGGGGUGCGCCCGUGAAGUUCCAGGUUUCUCAUCUGUCUGGCGAAGAAGGGUCUCUGAUCCUCAGGGUUGGUGGUUCUCAAACCUGGCUUGGCAUGAGACUCCCCUGGAUUUGUGGGGCUUUGGGGCUUUUUAUGUUUUGUUUUGUUUUUAUUUUGGUUUUCGUUUUGUGUUUAAUUAAUUCCCACUGCCUAGAGCAGCAUUCUGGUUCUACUGGCCUGGGGCGUGGUCUGAACAGAAGUACUUUAGAAAAACCUUCCUUGUCAUUGGAAUGCGCAGCCCUCCAGCUGCACAUUCCAAUACUGUUCUGUUUCAUGGGAUCCGUGGAUAGGAUUCAUGGGCUAUUACCCUGGCCUGUUUCGUGGGAUACAACUGCCCCCCCCCCCCGCCCCUCCCCGCUCAAACACACACAGUCCACAUUGAGUUGACCGAGUCUCUUUUUUUUGGCCUUGCAUCACUUACUCUUAUUAGCAUUCUGGUCUGUUUCUUCCAGGUGUUGGAAAUUUGCCACCCCUCAUUUUAACACCUUGAUAGCAGGGUUUAUUAUUAUUAUUAUUAUUAUUAUUACAUUUAUGUUUUCAUUAUAAUUUAAAAUCCUGGUUCGGGGCAGGGUGGAGAGCGAGGGGAUGCGCGUUUUGCUUGCCGGGGAACUUCCGGAGCUGAAAACAUUUUUUCCCUGAACUUGGGGAAAGUUCCUCCUCGCGCUCCAGUUUGGUCGGUCCGCUUCAGGCCCACCUGAGCGACCUCAGAUUGCCUUCCUAAGUCCGGCUCCACACUUAGUAUGAGCAGAGCAUUCUUCUUGUUCACCAAAGUGGAACUGGGAUUUCUCUUUCCCUGCGUUUUUCUCGCUCUCCGUGGCCAGCCGUGCUGCCUUUCUGGAUUAUGUUGUACACUUUUCCUUGAGAGAUAGAUGAUCUGUUCUUUGAUUAGACACCCUGACCUUUUACGGGCGUUGAUCAUUGAUCUUGAUCUGGGCUGGAUAGAAAGCUCUUGACUCUGAAAAGUUACUCUGCUGCCAGCACCGCAGGGAAAUUCAAUUUCUGCAUCCGUGUAGCCACGGCAGUAGGAGCUCCUCAAUUAGGAUUUCUCUUGUUAUGAUUUUACUUUUAUUAAGCAGGCUGCAGCCUCUGUUUUCCAGCCCUAGCUUUUAGUUACAGUAAUCAAUUUUUCAGUGUAACUGGCUGUAAUUGUUGGCUUGGAUAUUAAGCUUUCAUGGGCUUAGACAUAGUGUGUUCCCAUGAAGGGGCUUCUCCAUACCUCGCAGACAGAUGGGUAAUAAUAGCAUACAUUAAUACCUCCACAUUGGUUUAUGUGUGUUUGACCACAGUGCAAGCGUAAUUAUUUUUGCCCAGUAAAAGCUAUUAGAGAUCUAUUUGGUAGGUUUUACGAUCAAUAGCUCCUGUGAUAUUUGUGUAGCAGCCACAGAAUAAUCAAUUGAAGGUCAUAUAAAGUAAAUUACCAUCCUCCUAUAAUGAUUCUUUUUUCGAGAUGAGAAUUGGGUUUUAUUAUUUUAUCAGGAGCCUCUCAGCGAUGCAUGCUCUGUCUGUUUGAGAAAAAGAGAUAUAAAAGUUGUGAGCGCGGUGUUUUGAACACGGUAUUAAUAUCCAUUACUGGAAUUUAUGUUAUUGGAUUAUUGAAUUAGUGGAUUCACACUGGAAUUCCUUCAAAACCCUUUCUUAUGUACUCAGUGACACAGUUAAUAACAGUCGGGAGCAAAUGGACGUUUUUUGCUGCAUGGUGGAGUGAGUCACUUUGCAAAAGUCAAUCUUUGUAGCUGUCUCUUUAAAGCAAAUUUAGAGUUGGUUAAAUGUGUUAUAUUGACAGUGUGACCGAGCUUCUCUCUUCAAACCCUUUUGGAGAGUGACUGGUGAACUAAGCAGGAGAUAGAGUCUGGGAUGCUGAAUACUCACGCGCUGUCCACCAGUAGCUCAAGGGGCCGUCUGGACUGGUUCCUCCAACGCCUUCUCGCAGCUCCUGCCCAUUCUUCUGUUGGGCUGUUCGUCUCCAUCUCGACAGUCUAUAUUUAAUCUGCAUGCACUAUAGUAUCUGGAUACACGGUGAUGCCGAAAGGCUGAGGAUGUGUUAUGUCCAGAACAGACGUGGAAAAAAGGGCAAAAACAAGA